rnacentral:ncRNA from 1 species
AGAAAAGCAAUGAAAAGCGGGAGUAGCUUAUAACCCAUGUUAAGAGAGUUUCCGGUUGGUGAGAGGAAACCGUGGGAAGUAAGCGAAAGUAGGCUUUGAGCUGUAGAUGCGAUUAACUGAGUGUUUACUGGAUGCCACCAUUACAAGGCCAACGACUACAAUUGAUAAAGUUGUGUUCGCUAAGAUUAGGUUUUUAUUUUUUGAAUCUAAUGAAAUCAAGGUGGUACCGUGCAUCUGAAUGCGCCCUUCGA